GAAAUAGCUACUAAACAUUGGGGUCGUCAAAGGAUACGUGCAGCAUUUGGCCUACAAAUACUCCUGCUGGGUAUUUUGAUAUUCGCUGCCUAUUCUGCAAGAAUGAUGUGCUGCAGGUGUAUUUUGAUGUUCUGCCUAGGAACAUGUAUAAAUACUAAUAGAAACAGAACAAAUGCUGUUUCUGCUUAGUGCUAAGAUACCGAAACAGGUGUGCAGCAUCAACUAAAGCUGUGACUGGAAUACUCAAGACAACCACCUAAUUAAUCCAAUGUCUUGCCCAGAAAAGGACAGAAUGAAGCGUGAAGGGGCAAGAGAGGAAACAUGCAGCAAAGGGGUGCAGGCUGGAAUCGAACCUGUGGCCACUACAGCAAGGACUUUUCCUUUGUACAUGGAUGGCUGCUCUCACCACUGACCUACUGGGAGCCCUAUUUUGUCUUUGUUUUAAUUCACUGUUCUUUCUGUGUCCUUAUCUUAAAAAAUAACUGUUCAAAAGUCAUUAAUUCAUCAUAAUUACCACUCUAAUAUCUAUUUUAUAUUGUUGUGAGAACAUCAAUAAAUUUCUCUUUCAGACAGC